rnacentral:tRNA from 1 species
AGCCCCGUAGUGUAGCGGUCAAUCAUGCGAGACUCUGGAUUGCUUCUCGCAAGGAGAGAUCUUGCGACGGAGGUUCGAAUCCUCCCGGGGCUA